rnacentral:SRP_RNA from 1 species
GCCAGGCACAGUGGCACUUGCCUGUAAUCCCAGCUACUCAAGAGGCUGAGGCGGGAGGAGUUCUGGGCUGUAGUAUGCUAUGGCAAUCAGGUGUCCAUACUAAGUCUGGCAUCAGUAUGGUGACCUCCAGGCAGUGGGGUACCACCAGGUUGCUGCCUGAGUAGGGUGAACUGGCCCAGGUCAGUGAUGGAGCAGGUGAAAAUGGUGAUGAUCAGUUGUGGACUUGUGUCUGUGAAUAGCCACUGCACUCCAGUCUUGGGAACAUAGCAAGACCUGGUCUCU